GUGGCCCCUGUGUAACGAAAGAAAGAAAUGAUAUUCUUGCCAAAGUUGUAAAAAUCCACAUCUUCGAUAGCUGAACUGAUAACUCAUUUUUAUGCCCCCACCUUCGAAGAAGGGAUGGCAUAUUGCUUUGCUGCUGUCUGGUCCACCAACAGUUUCCGUUCAUUUUCUUCGCAGAGGAUGAACAUAUUGAAAUAAAAUUGGUAUACAGAUUUAUUAUGAUAACAUCUAGGUCAAGUUCGAUAUUGGGUACGAUCGAGCAAUUUUCGACAGAGUUAUGGCCAUUGGACAUAGAAAAAUCCAGUUAUUUGCAGUUUACGUUCAUUUUCUUUGUGGAUGUUUCCAAGGGAGGGGGGCAUAAGUGUUUCACAAACAUCUCUUGUUGCAUAUCAAGCUAGUUCAAGAUUUAAUCACAACACAUUUUUGUAUAUUUUGAUUUAUUGUAUACGAUACAUAUAUUACUUACAGGGCUAACAAUUACUACCAUUUUCAUGUAUAUCAGCUUCGAAAGAGUACUUCUCUUUUCACUCUCUUCAUUAUAAAAUCUGUUUGAAAAUAAAUAAUAUUUUGUACAAAAUUACCACGCUGUUAUACAAUAGAAAACAAAAUCGAUACAGAAUAAUUAAAAUCAGUGACU
rnacentral:sRNA from 1 species